CCACGGCCCUGGCAAAAGAAAUCAAUACGAUAGCUAAAUGCGAGUGAGGGAGAGAUUUUUUAUAUGAUGAAAAAAGAGAGAGAGAGAGAGAGAGAUUAUAUGGAAAUUACAAUUACUUAAAUAUGACACGUUGAAAAAACUUGCAUGUACAAAGGUGAACAAAAGAGUUAUACACUUUGUUUUGAUAUUGUCAAAUGCCUACAUGAAAAGCUCGGAACAAAGUCAUAGUAAUUUACUAGUUCCAAGGAACCUGAGGAAGAACUACCACCUCAGUCUUCUCUAUGUGAAACGGACUGGUUGUUAAGUCAAUUGCUCCCAGGUAUAAUUUAUCGUUUUGAAACCUGAAAAUACAGGAAAACACUACACAAACAAUACUGCUCCAAUCAGAGGUUUCAAAUUAGGAAGGUAAUCAGGGUAUGUCAAGUGGAAACCGUCUUGCACUAGCCUAGAGAAAGGAUGCUUUCACCUGAAAACAUAUGCAUUCACUGGAACAUGACACAGACUGUUGACUUCGGACCAGAGAAAAAUAUUAAAAAGUAAAAGAAUUACUGGGUUUUUGAAGUAUACAGAGAAGGAGAGAACUGAAUAGCAUCCCCCACACGUGGAAAAUCAGAUAGAAGAGACUCUUUAUGAGUUAGUCUAUUAGAGGAGGGAGCAACAGCAUGAAAGUGCAGUGGAUACAGGAUGGAGGCAGGAGAAUCUUGCAGAGACGCCAGGGGUAAGAGAUACGUUCACCUACAUAAGCAUCACUGCCUGUCCUAUGCCUUAAUCUAACUGCAUGCUCUCAAGAAAUAGCCACUUGCAACCAAUAAUACUGAUGGUGUUGAGUUUUGAAACAAACGAUGUGUUUCAAUGACAGAGAAUUGACAGCAAAAGGCUCACCAUGCCUUCCAGAAUGACAAGGUCAGCAUCACUAGCCAAGUAUGCAAGCUCUUGUGAUAUUCCCAUAAGAUCAAUAACCUGUGGUUACAAAAAAGUAGGCCUGUCAAUUAAGGUGGAGCAGCUAGAUGCACUCACAAAUUCUGGAGAUAGUACCAUUUUUUGGCAAUUUAGUAACUUUACUUUUAUUGUGUUAACUUCUGAUGCAUCAAAUUUUGGUGAACAAAUUUGGGGAUUAACUAGUAAGAUUUAUAAA